AACGGUCUAUACCUGCGGUACCUGCGGAGGGAUCAUUAAUGAGAAGCUGCCCCUCGUGGGUAGACCUCCCACCCUCUGUGAACUUACCUUUGUUGCUUUGGCAGGCCCGUCCUCUGGACCGCCGGCUUCGGCUGGCCCGUGCCUGCCAGAGGAUUCCAAACCCUGUCUGUCAGUGUUGACUGAGUCUAUAUGAAAUCGUUAAAACUUUUAACAAUGGAUCUCUAGAUCGGAAGAGCACAC
rnacentral:misc_RNA from 1 species